rnacentral:rRNA from 1 species
UACGUAGGGGGCAAGCGUUGUCCGGAUUUAUUGGGCGUAAAGAGCGUGUAGGCGGCCUGAAAGGUCAGCUGUGAAAACUCGAGGCUCAACCUCGAGACGUCGGUUGAAACCAUCUGGCUAGAGUCCGGAAGAGGAGAGUGGAAUUCCCGGUGUAGCGGUGAAAUGCGCAGAUAUCGGGAAGAACACCGGUGGCGAAGGCGGUUCUCUGGGCCUGUACUGACGCUGAGGUACGAAAGCGUGGGGAGCAAACAGG